rnacentral:rRNA from 1 species
GGCAUCCUACGGGGCGCAGCAGUAGGGAAUCUUCCACAAUGGGCGAAAGCCUGAUGGAGCAACGCCGCGUGGGUGAAGAAGGUCUUCGGAUCGUAAAACCCUGUUGUUAGAGAAGAAAGUGCGUGAGAGUAACUGUUCCCGUUUCGACGGUAUCUAACCAGAAAGCCACGGCUAACUACGUGCCAGCAGCCGCGGUAAUACGUAGGUGGCAAGCGUUAUCCGGAUUUAUUGGGCGUAAAGGGAACGCAGGCGGUCUUUUAAGUCUGAUGUGAAAGCCUUCGGCUCAACCGGAUUAGUGCAUUGGA